GCUGGGUGUGGUGGCGCAUGCCUGUACUCCCAGCUACUCUGGAGGCUGAGGUGGGAAGAUCACUUGAGCCUAGGAGGUCAAAGCUGCAGUGAACCAAGAUCAUGCCACUGCACUCCAGCCUAGGCAAUAGAGUGAGACCCUGCCUCAU
ensembl:misc_RNA Metazoa_SRP Metazoan signal recognition particle RNA